UUUUGUCCUCGUAUGCAUGUCUCUUCUUCAGUGUUUUUAUUUCUCGUUGGAUGUUUUCAUGAAUUUAAAUAUGAUUCCAAGUUGUAUGUGACUUCCAAAAACACAUUGGACAGGAUUUGUCUUAUAUAAAUGGCCUCAAUAUUAACCAGCAUUUGAGGACCAUGUCUCAACAUGAGAUGUCUAAGAAUGUAAGCUCAUUUCUUUUAUUUAUUCAUGAUAGAACUAAUUUAUUUAUUUAUGAUAAAACAAUAACUUUAUUACUAGUAAAGGCUAGAUUUAUGAGAAACUGAGAUUUAUUACAAUAAACUCCAGAAUUAUAUACAGCCUUAUACAUC
rnacentral:lncRNA from 1 species